rnacentral:lncRNA from 1 species
GCACAAGAUGAAUUUGGAAUGAUGCUUGCACCUCAGAUUUCUUUCAAGAAUAAAAUGUUCCAUAUGCCCCAAGAGAACUGGUUAACAGCUACAGGAACUUCUCUCUGGAGGCGACUCUUAACUUAUUUAUUUUUCUCAAGGCAAAGAGUGAAUGUUGAGGGCUCCUGAAGAGCAGGGGUGAGUCAGCAGUGAUUUUUCCCGUCUUUUAUGAGGACAUGUUACAGUUAACAUUCUCCACACUGGAUGAUCCUCUAAUAGGGAUGGAAAUUUAUGAGCCCACAGAUAAGACAAAUGGAGACUUUAGGAGAGGGCCGAGUCUCUGAAGUCACUCAGAGCUGAUUUCAUGAGUGCUAUUUGUACAUCCUCAAGCUUGCUAUUUAAGGAGAAUUGUUCAGUUUUGACAAAAUUGCUCUGAACAUGAACAAUUUCCUCCUAUUAUGGAGUGUCUCAUCUUCAGCUGCUUAUUGCAUUCCUACUCAUGCAUUCCCUCUUCUCUUGCUCUCUCUCUCUCUCAGACCCCCUGAAGGCCAGAGACGUAGGAGGCUCUGCAGCAGAGGGCGUGGGGGAGGCAGCGCAUUUGCUAAAUGAUGAUCCGAAUUAGGCUCUAGCGCCAGCCCAGGAUGGCUCACCUCGGUUCUGCCUGGACUGCCCCAGCAUGACUGACUCACCCACUCCCCAGGUUAGUCGAGUUCCAUCCUGCUUGGCUGAGAGGCACAGUCUGAAAAGGGAGGACCCUUUUCAGGGGGUCUGUCUGUUGCCCAGGCUAGACUGCAGUGGCGUCAUGACAGCUUCUUGCAGCCUCAACCUCCCAGGCUCACGUGAUCUUCCCAUCUCAGCCCAGGUAUGCAAGUUGCUUUUAAUGUAAUUGUGAGGAAAAGUGAAGAGAUGCAAAAUUAUUUGAGACGUUAAUAUUAAGCUUUGGGAAUGGAAGUUACUUGUUACCAGAAUUCUGACUGGAAUCAGGGCCACAAUGCCCUUCAGCUCUCAUGGUCUUUCUUGAUCCUCAAAUCAUAGAUUCUCUCUUACACUCUUAUUCCAGUAGUUCUCUGAGCUUCUUCUCUUCUGGAUUAGCCAUGCCCUGAAAAAAGGCAGCAAAACUUCCUAGUGUGUGUGUUCUAUGUGAAGAAAGAUCAUGUGUCAAGUCCCAGAACACACCAUCCCCGCCCAGGGCCUCAGCCACAAAUCUAAUUCUUCCCCACAGACCCCUUUGAGAAACCUGGACCAACAGAGAAUUGAUGGUAGGUAGAAGGCAAAAUGUUGGAAUUUAAGAGUUCAGACCCAGACUAGGAAGCUGCCUAACAGCCUAGAGUGGGGCCAUAGGAAGGCAGGCCAUCAGCACUGAGAUGGAGCAGCUGGAGCAGCUGGAACAGAAAACUUUCCCCCAGCCUUCCAAUCUCCUGACUUGCCUCAGAGAAGGCCAGGCUCUAAGCAGCCGGCAGAACCAUCCUCUUUUUCUUCAGAGCUCUGAUCAGUUUGAAAUUGUUUGACUUCUUUUUUUUUUUUUUUGAGACGGAGUUUUGCUGUUACCCAGACUGGAGUGCAAUGGCGUGAUCUCGGCUCACUGCAACCUCUGCCUUCUGGGUUCAAGCAAUUCUCCUGCCUCAGCCUCCCGAGUAGCUGGGACUACAGGCGCAUACCACCAUGCCCAGCUAAUUUUUGUAUUUUUAAUAGAGACGGGGUUUCACCAUGUUGACCAGGAUGGUCUCGAUCUCUUGACCUCGUGAUCCACCUGCCUCGGCCUCCCAAAGUGCUGGGAUUACAGGCGUGAGCCACCGCUCCCGGCCAUUUUUUUUUUUGAGAAGAGUUGCUCUGUUGCCCAGGCUGGAGUGCAGUGAUGCUAUCUCGGCUCACUGCAACCUCCGCCUCCCAGAUUCAAGCGAUUCUCCUGCCUGAGCCUCCUGAGUAGCUGGGACUACAGGCAUGUGCCACUAUGCCCCGCUAAUUUUAUGCAUUUUUAGUAGAGACGGGGUUUCACCAUGUUGGCCAAACUGGUCUUGAAUUUCCAACCUCGUGAUCCGCCCACCUGGGCCUGCCAAAGUGGUGGAUUACAGGUGUGAGCCACCGCGCCCAGCUUUGUCUAACUUCUUAAAGUGGCUGGCUACACGAUUGUUUCCUGCUGGCCUGCAACUUGUUGUGGGAGUGGAACCUUGGAUUUUAGUCAUCACUGUCGCUAGCAUCCUGUACAAGGUCUGCCACUUUUAGAGAGUAUAAUGCAGAGGGGAAAGAAAUGAGAUUUGGAGUAAAGACGGGGUUUCACCAUGCUGGCCAUGCUGGUCUCAAACUCUUGACCUCCAGUGAUCCUGCCCCGCCUUCCAAAGUGUUAGAAUCACAGCCGUGAGCCACCGCGCCCGGCCCCACAGACAUUAAGAUUUAAGCACUUCUUUAAGCCAAGUGCUGUGCAUCGAAUGGAGUAAUUCCUAGCUUAGCAGGAUUUUGUGAUAUAUGUGAAAU